UCUCGUGUUUUUAUAUUAUUUGUUUUAAAAAUAUAGAUAGCAAUCUCGAUGUAUUUUGCAGACUUGGAAUUAGAUUUGAAUACCACAAAGGUAUAUUCGAGAUAUGGAAAAUACCUUAGAGAAAUUUACUAAAGCCGAUUUCAGAAAUCACUUGCGUUUCUCAAAGUAAAUUGUGCAAAAUGUUUCGUUGCCAUUAAUCAAUCACCAGGAACAAAUAAAAAAUCGAGGACUUUAUGGUCUUUUCAUAACAGAUGAUUAAUGAAUUGUAUUGUCAGUCCCUAGUUGGUGAAAAAAAUCAAGCUUGUAUGUAUGAUGUGAUGAAAUAAUAAUAGUAAUUAACAAAG